rfam:Oryza glumipatula chromosome 4, whole genome shotgun sequence.
AAUAUGUGCAGUUUUGUACUAUUUACGUUCAAUGUUUAACUGUUCAUCUUAUUUAAAAAAAUUUUAUGACUACUAUUUUUAUUGCUAUUAGAUGAUAAAACAUGAAUAGUGCUUUAUGUGUGACUAAAUAUUUUCAAACUUUUCACAAAUUUUUUAAAUAAGACAGAUGGUCAAACGUUGGGCACGGAUAUCCACGGCUGCACUUAUU